UGGUGGGUAGUUUGACUGGGGCGGUCUCCUCCUAAAGAGUAACGGAGGAGCACGAAGGUUGGCUAAUCCUGGUCGGACAUCAGGAGGUUAGUGCAAUGGCAUAAGCCAGCUUGACUGCGAGCGUGACGGCGCGAGCAGGUGCGAAAGCAGGUCAUAGUGAUCCGGUGGUUCUGAAUGGAAGGGCCAUCGCUCAACGGAUAAAAGGUACUCCGGGGAUAACAGGCUGAUACCGCCCAAGAGUUCAUAUCGACGGCGGUGUUUGGCACCUCGAUGUCGGCUCAUCACAUCCUGGGGCUGAAGUAGGUCCCAAGGGUAUGGCUGUUCGCCAUUUAAAGUGGUACGCGAGCUGGGUUUAGAACGUCGUGAGACAGUUCGGUCCCUAUCUGCCGUGGGCGCUGGAGAACUGAGGGGGGCUGCUCCUAGUACGAGAGGACCGGAGUGGACGCAUCACUGGUGUUCGGGUUGUCAUGCCAAUGGCACUGCCCGGUAGCUAAAUGCGGAAGAGAUAAGUGCUGAAAGCAUCUAAGCACGAAACUUGCCCCGAGAUGAGUUCUCCCUGACUCCUUGAGAGUCCUGAAGGAACGUUGAAGACGACGACGUUGAUAGGCCGGGUGUGUAAGCGCAGCGAUGCGUUGAG
rnacentral:rRNA from 1 species